CCUACGGGAGGCAGCAGUAGGGAAUUUUCGUCAAUGGGCGCAAGCCUGAACGAGCGAUGCCGCGUGAGUGAAGAAGGCCUUCGGGUCGUAAAGCUCUGUUGCGGGGGAAAAAAGGCAGCAUCAGGAAAUGGGUGUUGACUGAUGGUGCCCCGCCAGAAAGUCACGGCUCACUACGUGCCAGCAGCCGCGGUAAUACGUAGGUGGCGAGCGUUAUCCGGAAUGAUUGGGCGUAAAGGGUGCGCAGGCGGUCCUGCAAGUCUGGAGUGAAACGCAUGGGCUCAACUCAUGCAUGGCAUUGGAAACUGGAGGACUAGAGAGCAGGAGAGGGCGGUGGAACUCCAUGUGUAGCGGUAAAAUGCGUAGAUAUAUGGAAGAACACCAGUGGCGAAGGCGGCCGCCUGGACUGUUGCUGACGCUGAGGCACGAAAGCGUGGGGAGCAAAUAGGAUUAGAUACCCCUGUAGUC
rnacentral:rRNA from 1 species